rnacentral:rRNA from 1 species
AGAGUUUGAUCCUGGCUCAGGACGAACGCUGGCGGCGUGCCUAAUACAUGCAAGUCGAGCGGACCCCUUCGGGGUUAGCGGCGGACGGGUGAGUAACACGUAGGCAACCUGCCUGUAAGAUCGGGAUAACUACCGGAAACGGUAGCUAAGACCGGAUAGAUAAGAGGAACGCAUGUUACUCUUAAGAAACACGGAGCAAU